GGUGGUGAUCUUACUUAUCGUCAUUGGAACGCAGAGACAGGAAGUGAUUUCAUCUAUAAAUAGGCAAAUCCGAGCAAGAGGUGCGAUGGGAGGAUGUAGAGGGAGAUAUUCCUGCAACUGACAGUAGAGGAGAUUUUUCCUUUGGUGAAGUCUGGAAACCAUGUAACCAUUACAGUGCCUCCACCUCACUCCCUGAAACUCAAAAGAAAAAAUUAAAAGAUUCAAGAAAUUUCCAACAAGAUCAUUGAUCUGCUAUCAGGAGAGGUUCCUAUAAGGUGUCAGGAUGUCACUGUCUAUUUCUCCAUG